AAACCAGCACCUCAAGUGGUCAGGAUGAUUAUUGGGCCUAAAGCAUCCGUAGCCGGCUCUGUAAGUUUUCGGUUAAAUCUGUACGCUUAACGUACAGGCUGCUGGGAAUACUGUAGAGCUAGGGAGUGGGAGAGGUAGACGGUACUCGGGAGGAAGUGGUAAAAUGCUUUGAUCUCUCGAUGACCACCUGUGGCGAAGGCGGUCUACCAGAACACGUCCGACGGUGAGGGAUGAAAGCUGGGGGAGCAAACCGGAUUAGAAACCCGAGUAGUCC
rnacentral:rRNA from 1 species